GCCGCGGUAAUUCCAGCUCUCGUAAUGUAUAGAAUUAUUGUUGCGGUUAAAAAGUUCGUAGUUGGAUUUCAUACCACUUGCAGGUAGUGUUUAACGAUGCUUACUUGCGGUGGUGUUUACAUCGAGUCGAGUUCACUUGGCUAGAUGUGGAUUACUUUGAACGGCUUAAGUGCUCAAGGCGAGUCUUCGGACUGAAUACCGGUGCAUGGAAUAAUGGAACAAGGUUUCGGCUGAGUUUUAUUGGUUUUGUCGGCAGAGACAAUGGUUAACAGGAACAGCUGGGGGCACUCGUAUCCCGGCGCGAGAGGUGAAAUUCGUGGACCGUCGGGAGACGCCCAAAAGCGAAGGCAUUUGCCAAGAGUGUUUUCAUUAAUCAAGAACGAAAGUCAGAGGUUCGAAGGCGAUUAGAUACCGCCCUAGUUCUGACCGUAAACGAUGCCAACUAUCAAUCUGCCAGCAGCUUCCAGUUGUUGGCAGGCGGAUCGACGGAAACGAAAGUUUUUCGGUUCCGGGGGAAGUAUGGUUGCAAAGCUGAAACUUAAAGGAAUUGACGGAAGGGCACCACCAGGAGUGGAGCUUGCGGCUUAAUUUGACGCAACACGGGAAACCUCACCCGGCCAGUACAUCAUAAGGAUUGACAGAUUGAAAGCUCUUUCAUGAUUUGAUGAAUGGUGGUGCAUGGCCGUUCUUAGUUCGUGGUGUGAACUGUCUGCUUAAUUGCGAUAACGAGCGAGACUCCAACUGUUAAAUAGUAAAAGGUUUCUUUUGACCUUCAUACUUCUUAGUAGGAUUCGCGACUUCAAGUCGCAAGAAAUGGAGCAAUAACAGGUCUGUGAUGCCCUUAGAUGUUCGGGGCAGCACGCGUGCUACAAUGGUGGUAACAGCGUGAUUGUCCUCGCCCGACAGGGCUUGGCAAACAGUUGAGAUAUUAUUAUGGCUGGAAUUGAGUGUUGAAAUUUUCUCUCAUGAACGAGGAAUUCCAAGUAAAUGCGAGUCAUCAA
rnacentral:rRNA from 1 species